rnacentral:piRNA from 1 species
UGGCUCAGUUCAGCAGGAACC